rnacentral:rRNA from 1 species
UACGGGGGGAGCGAGCAUUAUUCGUCAUGAUUGGGCGUAAAGGGUUUGUAGAUUGUUUUAAAUUUUAAAAAUUAAAAAUUAGAAUUCAAUUUUAAAAGGGUUUUUAAUAGUAAGACUUGAGUUUAUAUAUAAGAUAGUAGAAUUUUUGUUGUAGCGAUAAAAUGCAUAAAUAACAAAAGGAAUACCUGUGGCGAAGGCGGCUAUCUAGUUUAAACUGACAUUGAAAAACUAAAACUAAGGUAGCGAACGGG